rnacentral:rRNA from 1 species
UACGUAGGGUGCAAGCGUUGUCCGGAAUUAUUGGGCGUAAAGGGCUCGUAGGCGGUCCAUCGCGUCGGGAGUGAAAAGCUGGGGCUUAACCCCAGUCCUGCUUCCGAUACGGGUGGACUAGAGGUAGGUAGGGGAGAACGGAAUUCCUGGUGUAGCGGUGAAAUGCGUAGAUAUCAUUUGGAACGCCAAUGGUGAAAACAGGUAGCUGGGGCUGUGCUGACACUGAGACACGAAAGCCAGGGGAGCGAACGGG